GAUGAACGCUGGCGGCGUGCCUAAUACAUGCAAGUCGAGCGAACGGACGAGAAGCUUGCUUCUCUGAUGUUAGCGGCGGACGGGUGAGUAACACGUGGAUAACCUACCUAUAAGACUGGGAUAACUUCGGGAAGCCGGAGCUAAUACCGGAUAAUAUUUUGAACCGCAUGGUUCAAAAGUGAAAGACGGUCUUGCUGUCACUUAUAGAUGGAUCCGCGCUGCAUUAGCUAGUUGGUAAGGUAACGGCUUACCAAGGCAAUGAUGCAUAGCCGACCUGAGAGGGUGAUCGGCCACACUGGAACUGAGACACGGUCCAGACUCCUACGGGAGGCAGCAGUAGGGAAUCUUCCGCAAUGGGCGAAAGCCUGACGGAGCAACGCCGCGUGAGUGAUGAAGGUCUUCGGAUCGUAAAACUCUGUUAUUAGGGAAGAACAUAUGUGUAAGUAACUGUGCACAUCUUGACGGUACCUAAUCAGAAAGCCACGGCUAACUACGUG
rnacentral:rRNA from 1 species